UUCUCUUAAAGCCACAGUAACACCAUCUCUCUAUCCCUUUAAUUUUCUCUCUCUCUCUCUCUCUCACACACACACACACACACCAUCUAUCUAUCUAUCUCAGAGUUAUCUUAAGAGCUUUCUGUAAGUCUUUUAACAGUUCUCCUUUGACACAAUGACCAUCUACCUUCUAUUUUUGCUGUAUUAUUGAAGUUGUUAUUACUUAGAGGAAUGGUAUCAUUUUCAUUUUCUUGAUGCUCUUGUUGCUGUACUAUAUCAUUUCUUCUUUCAACUGAGUCUAGCCUUGCAGUGAAAUACCUCUGGAGCUGACCAUAAUCCAAAAGAAAGAGCUACACAAAGGCACAGAAAACUAUUAGGAUGGAAGUCAAAGUCUGAUGUGUCUGACAACAUCCAGCAAGUGCAAUUUCACUAGUUCAGACACGUAUAGAGGAUGACUGAAGAAGACUGGGUGAAGAUAGCAUGGCAGGAGUGGGUGUUAGGAAAGAGACCCUGAGAAGCUGAGGAAGUGAUGGAUGGAUUGCAUAAAAGAAACUGGAGGUGAGACAAGGCAGACAUAUUUCAGCUAUUACUAAUGCUUCCUGAUGACCCUUGGAAUCAGAGGAACUGGGGAGAAUACAUGCAGCGGAUAGUUUGACCAGGAAAGAAGAAAAGCAUCUGUCAUGGAAGCUGAGCUGUGACCAACCCUGGAGCAGAAAUAUCCUGCAUUUGUUGUUCAGAGGCUAGCAGACAAGAAGAGUAUCUCAUUGAGAUGGCUGUGGCCAUGGAACAUGAAGCAGUGUCAGUUACGUUGAUAGCUGCUUGAGGAGAUGUCUAGGCAGUGAGGUGUCUUGUACUGAAUCUUUUGGACAAUUUGUCUACAAAUUUCAAAAUUUCUGACACAUUAAUAAAGAGGCUGCCUAAUUAAAAGUGAAGAGUGAUGUGAAGCUCCCACUCUCUCUCUGGAUGAUCAUUAAUGAAGAUGUUAACUGCUACAAGACCUAACAUUGAUUCGUGUGGUGCCCUACGAGAUGCUUCUUCCCAAUUCAAUACGUUGCCAUUUAUCACUUACAUUUGUUAAUAGACUUUCAGCCAGUUUUUAAUCAAGGCAACAAAAUUUGUAAUACCGGUUGUUUUGAAUUAAUUUUAGGGAAAUAUCUUUUUAAAGACAGGGAAUCAACUAUUUUACUAAAGAUCAAAACAUUCUAUCAACUGCAUUCCUUUCAUCUAGUAGGGGUCUGAUUACCCAACCCUUACUCACACAAGCAGUCCUUAUUUACAUGAGUGAAGAUUAAUUACAAAAGAAAUGGCUGAAAUAGAAUUGAGACAAAAUUUUGUAAUAACAAAAAAAUAUCAAGCUUUGUUCUUUAUAAACUUGUGCUGUUCUUUGUUGCUUCUGGUUCUUCUAUGGAAGUUUUUUUGUUUUUCUCUACAAUUUCUUCAGCUAUUUUAGUACUGUACAAAUUGACA